rnacentral:rRNA from 1 species
AGUUUGGAGAGUUUGAUCCUGGCUCAGGACGAACGCUGACGGCGUGCUUUAGACAUGCAAGUCGAACGCGAAAGCCCUUCGGGGUGAGUAGAGUGGCGAACGGGUGAGUAACACGUGGGUAACCUGCCCCUCGCAGGGGGAUAACCGAGGGAAACCUCGGCUAAUAGCCCGUACGCUCGUUGGGCCGCAUGGCCCUUCGAGGAAAGGUAGCUUCGGCCAUCCGGCGAGGGAUGGGCCCGCGGUACAUUAGCUAGUUGGUGGGGUAACGGCCCACCAAGGCAACG